GAUGAGCAUGCGUCCCAUUAGCUAGUUGGUAAGGUAACGGCUUACCAAGGCUACGAUGGGUAGGGGUCCUGAGAGGGAGAUCCCCCACACUGGUACUGAGACACGGACCAGACUCCUACGGGAGGCAGCAGUGAGGAAUAUUGGACAAUGGGCGCAAGCCUGAUCCAGCCAUGCCGCGUGCAGGAUGACGGUCCUAUGGAUUGUAAACUGCUUUUAUACGAGAAGAAACACUCCUUCGUGAAGGAGCUUGACGGUAUCGUAAGAAUAAGGAUCGGCUAACUCCGUGCCAGCAGCCGCGGUAAUACGGAGGAUCCAAGCGUUAUCCGGAAUCAUUGGGUUUAAAGGGUCCGUAGGCGGUUUAAUAAGUCAGUGGUGAAAGCCCAUCGCUCAACGGUGGAACGGCCAUUGAUACUGUUAGACUUGAAUUAUUAGGAAGUAACUAGAAUAUGUAGUGUAGCGGUGAAAUGCUUAGAGAUUACAUGGAAUACCNAUUGCGAAGGCAGGUUACUACUAAUUGAUUGA
rnacentral:rRNA from 1 species